rnacentral:lncRNA from 1 species
GGAAUUUGCAACCAUAGACAGCACAGUGAAGACAGGUGUUAACUUGAAGGCUGUACACAAACAGUGAAUUCUCAAGUCUCCUCCCCUUCCCUCCCCUAGGCGCUGUGCACAAUUAAAAUAGCAGAGUUCCCAUCUCCAAGGAAUUUGCAACCAUAGACAGCACAGUGAAGACAGGUGUUAACUUGAAGGCAGCGCACAAACGAUCUCCUGCCCUGGGAGAAGCCAGCUGCCAUAUCAUGAGAACGUGUAAGCAUCCUUGAGGAGCGGUCCAUGUGCUUUCCAGUGACUGCAGCCCUGGCCAACCUCUUGAUGGCCUCCUCAUGAGAGCUGAUGAGCCAGGACCACCCAGUGAAGCCAUUCCUGGAUUCGUGUCCUGCAGACACGGUGCAGCAGGUACUGGGGACUGGUUGCCACCAUUACAGCAUUAGUUGGUGCUAUAGACUGAAUGUAAGUGUCCCCUGAAAUUCGUAUGUUGAAACCCUAAUCCCCAAUGUGAUGGUAUUUGGAAUUGGGGCAUUGGAAAGUAAUUAGGUCAUGAGGGUUGAGCCCUCAUGGAGGGAUUAGUGCCCUUGGAAGAAGAGGAAAUGACAAGAACCUCCUUUCACCCCCCAGUCUCUGUGCAUGCACCAAGCAAAGGCCAUGUGAGGACAUACCAGGAAAAGGCCCUCACCAGACACCAAAUCUGCCAGCACUCCAGUCUUGAACUUCCCAGCUUCUAGAACGAUGAGAAAUAAACUUCUAUUGUUUAAGCCACCCAAUGUAGAGUAUCUUGUUAUAGUGGUCUGGAAUGACUAAAUCAGUUGGUGACGGAAGUGAUAUGGGAGAUAACAUCAAGUAAAGAGUUUAUAUACCAUGUAAAGAGCAAAAGUGCUUAAGGGGCCAGGUGCGGUGGCUCACGCCUGUAAUCCCAGCACUUUAGGAGGCCGAGGCAGAUGAAUCACCUGAGGUCAGGAGUUCAAGACCAGCCUGGCCAAAAU